GUCAAAUAAUCACAGAUACCACCAGAUACUCGCAAUUACAAAGUUAGAUAAGCACACAUAAAUCGAGGAGAAGGACACAGAGUUACCCUCCUUCUUCGCAACCGGAGAAGAUCGGCCUUCAAACACAGAGAAACCCUAGGUCUAAAUUUUUGAAAAACAAAACUUUACCAGAGAGCUGGUGAGGAACGUCGGAAACACACCCAAACCGUCCAGAGAAUGACAAUCGGGCCACCGGAAUGCGGUAAAACCGUAGGUCAAACCGUCAGAAACCCUAGAAGCCGAUAAGUCAUCAAAAUCAACCGUCCAAAAUCAUCACAAAGUCUUUCCGGAGUGUGUAAUAGAGAAAAACACACUCGGAUACACUCAGAAAAGUCUCCGUCAACCGUCCAAAAUCAUCACAAAGUCUUUCCGGAGUGUGUAAUAGAGAAAAACACACUCGGAUACACUCAGAAAGGUCUCCGAUGGACUAAAUUCAUCAUUAACGAAGCUGUCUCAGAAAUCGCCCCCAAAAACCUCGAUAUAGACUUCAUCUAUGACCACGAACACUCAGAAACAUGAUCAGAUCGUCUAGGAGGCUCUGAUACCAUGUUAACAUCAAGAUUAAACG
rnacentral:lncRNA from 1 species